UCAAGUGUUCUCAGGCUUCAGGAGGAAGAUCCUGAAGUGAGGAUAAAGAAGCAUGGCCCAUGGUCUAUUGAGUGAUUGCCAAACACUUAUGAAGGACUGUCCCUUCUCUUUGGUGCUCACAAUCUAUGGAGUAAGCUAAACCACUGGAAGUAUAAUAUUGAACAGAAACAUCAAGGAGGAAAUCCAGAACUUUCUGCCAAAGCCAGCAGCAGCAGGAAACCUUACCUGAGAUGAAAAACUCAGAUGAAAAAGACUUCACUGC